AAGAGAGCUCAGUCAUGUGAAGGUUUGCCAUAUGGUCCCCACCAGAAGAAGCAGAUCCAGAGCCAUAUUUUCUCCUGGUGUACACAGGCCUGGAUACACUGACUCUAAUGAAGCUGAAGUUUACAUGAGCUCAAGAAAUCAAAUUUUCAGAAAUAACUUCGCCUUGAACUGGCAGGUUCAGAAACCCACAGAAAACUUGAAGUGGCAGAAGUGAUACCAGCAGGAAGCCAUGAUCCCUUCUUCUUUAAUUUACAUCCCUUCAUUGUGCACCCGGGGAUGUCACCUCCAUGUCUUCUGUAUGGUGACAGACAGAUUAAAACAGAAGUGAAGCCUUGCUCUUUGUAAAGGUAAAAUUUUACAAGACUGGAGUUGGAUGUCAGGAGACAAGGCAUUUUUCUACUCACCUUGCACUCCUCUCUGCCUUCCCAUGGUUUUUGUGGGUGCAGUAUUGAAGAGCUGAAGGGUUCACCGAGGGGCAGGCAGCUGAGAGGCUGAGAUGUGCUGAGCAACCUUGUGUGUAGCUCCUCCUGACCUCCUGCAGCUGCCCCUCUGCUGUUUUCCCUGUAUUUUGGCUCUGUGAGCAGUUUUAAAGUUUCUGCUUUGUUGUUCUCCUGUGAAAUGCCCUGAAAUGUUGAACUACUGCCCUGUUCCCCAGGUCCAGGGGAAUAAAGUGCUGGUGCUUCCUAUCACCACACUGAGCAGAUAAACAGGAACAGUAAAAGCAAGAGAGGACAAUGGCCGCAUUCACCUCAGGUGGCUGAGGUUUGCAUUGCCAUCCAGUGGGAAGGAUGUGUGAGCAGAAGGUAGAAAAGUGGAGCUGAACUCAGC